rnacentral:rRNA from 1 species
CAUUAUCGUGGGGAUUCGUCCCCUCUAGAUAGACACCCUUUGUUUAUGAGUACCAAUUGUUUCCUCGGCGGGCUUGCUCGCCGUUGGACAUCCAAAACCUUUGUAGUAGCAGUAUCUUCAGUAAAAAAAACAAAUAUUAAAACUUUCAACAACGGAUCUCUUGGUUCUGGCAUCGAUGAAGAACGCAGCGAAAUGCGAUAAGUAGUGUGAAUUGCAGAAUUCAGUGAAUCAUCGAAUCUUUGAACGCACAUUGCGCCCUUCGGUAUUCCGUUGGGCAUGCCUGUUCGAGCGUCAUUUAAACCUUCAAGCUCUGCUUGGUGUUGGGUGUCUGUUCCGCCUCAGUGCGUGGACUCGCCUUAAAUUCAUUGGCAGCCGGUAUGUUGGCUUCGUGCGCAGCACAUUGUGUCACGCUUCUAACAAACCCCUUCCCAUUAAGCCUCUUUUUACUUUGACCUCGGAUCAGGUAGGGAUACCC